rnacentral:rRNA from 1 species
AUUGAACGCUGGCGGCAGGCCUAACACAUGCAAGUCGAGCGAGCGGCGGACGGGUGAGUAAUGUCUGGGAAACUGCCUGAUGGAGGGGGAUAACUACUGGAAACGGUAGCUAAUACCGCAUACCAUCAGAUGUGCCCAGAUGGGAUUAGCUAGUAGGUGGGGUAAUGGCUCACCUAGGCGACGAUCCCUAGCUGGUCUGAGAGGAUGACCAGCCACACUGGAACUGAGACACGGUCCAGACGCCUACGGGAGGCAGCAGUGGGGAAUAUUGCACAAGGGGCGAAAGCCUGAUGCAGCCAUGCCGCGUGUGUGAAGAAGGCCUUCGGGUUGUAAAGCACUUUCAGUGAGGAGGCGUUACUCGCAGAAGAAGCACCGGCUAACUCCGUGCCAGCAGCCGCGGUAAUAC